UUGCUCAGACCAAAGACUUCGGUCGCCUUGGAGCGAGGACNGUCCUAUCAGGUUGUUGGUGAGGUAACGGCUCACCAAGCCAAAGACGGGUAGCGGGUGUGAGAGCAUGACCCGCAGUAUCGGGACUGAGACACNGCCCGGACUCCUACGGGAGGCUGCAGUAACGAAUAUUCCGCAAUGCGCGAAAGCGUGACGGAGCAAUGCCGCGUGUGGGAUGAAGCUUUUCGGAGUGUAAACCACUGUCAGAGUUUAGGAACACAAUGACCAGACUCAAAGGAAG
rnacentral:rRNA from 1 species